rnacentral:rRNA from 1 species
CGGACCAAGGAGUGCAAGAGAUGCGCAAGUCGGAAGGGUUGUGUUGGGGGUCUACCUUCGGGUGGUCCUCACCCUGACAGACCCAUGUGUUUGGAACGGGCGAAGUGAGAGCAAUUCGUGGGUGCGAGAGCCCUCGGUGUAAACACUAGGGCACAUCGCUGGCCGAACCUAAUGGUCACGCUGUGGCCGGUUUCGAGUGCGAGCGUAUCUGUUGCGACCCGAAAGAUGGUGAACUAUGCCUGAGGAGGGUGAAGCCAGAGGAAACUCUGGUGGAGGCCCGUAGCGGUUCUGACGUGCAAAUCGAUCGUCGCACUUGGGUAUAGGGGCGAAAGACUAAUCGAACCAUCUAGUAGCUGGUUCCCUCCGAAGUUUCCCUCAGGAUAGCUGGAGCUCGUUCCGAGCAGUUUCGUCGGGUAAAGCGAAUGAUUAGAGGUAUCGGGGUUGAAAGGACCUCGCCCUAUUCUCAAACUUUAAAUCGGCGAGAAGGGAUUGUCUUGCCUGCUGGAAGACAUCUCUCGAAUGCAGGGGCUCCAAGUGGGCCGUUUUUGGUAAGCAGAACCGGCGAUGCGGGAUGAACCGAACGUUGGGCUAUGGCGCCGGAGUCGACGCUAAACAGAUACCAGGAAAGGUGUUGGUUGAUCCAGACAGCAGGACGGUGGCCAUGGAAGUCGGAAUCCGCUAAGGAGUGUGUAACAAC